CGAUGUGAAUUUCUCCCUCAGAGUAAAAAUAAAAAAAACUCUGCUCGCGGGUUCGUCUCGCUCUGGGUGAGCCUGGGCGCUAAGAAAAGAAGAUCAGGGUUGGGGCCUGCAUACUAGUGAGAUUAAACACACAAUUUUGUCCAAUCCUUUUGUAUUUUUACAGAAAAUCACCGCCCAGCGGAUUGUUUCUUUUACUCUUUUUUUUUUAUCAACAUCGACGAUUUGGUUUUCCGACGACAACACUGUCGUUUUCGGGACUUGUGAAAAGCCUCGGACUUGCCUAGUUGUGAACGCCUGAGGCUGCGUCGGCUAGCCCGGCAUGCUGAGUAGGAAAAUCCAGGGAAAGCCGUGUUGCUGCCAAUCGUUGCCACUUUGUUCACUUUGACCCCCGAGCAGAGGUUCCCAAAAUGUGUCCUGGGGGAGCUUAAUCAUCAGCCCACCGAAUACAGACAACAUUGAGCACCUCAGGCAUUAGAACACAACACAGAAAACUGGAAAUGGUCCAAGUCUUCAGGCUACCUGUGUAUUUUACAGUUUUAGCCAGGAUACAAAUGCUCAUCAGAUUUGAUAAGUUUUUAAGUAUGUUAUAAAGACCUCAAUUUAGCUGAUUGUAUUGCUUGUAUUGAUAGUAAUAAAGAAGAAGACAUCACCUACA